rnacentral:rRNA from 1 species
UACGAAGGGGGCUAGCGUUGUUCGGAAUUACUGGGCGUAAAGCGCACGUAGGCGGCGAUUUAAGUCAGAGGUGAAAGCCCGGGGCUCAACCCCGGAAUAGCCUUUGAGACUGGAUUGCUAGAAUCUUGGAGAGGCGAGUGGAAUUCCGAGUGUAGAGGUGAAAUUCGUAGAUAUUCGGAAGAACACCAGUGGCGAAGGCGGCUCGCUGGACAAGUAUUGACGCUGAGGUGCGAAAGCGUGGGGAGCAAACAGG